UUAGCGGCGAGACGGGUGAGUAAUGCUUAGAGAAUCUGCCUAUUAGUGGGGGACAACAUUCCGAAAGGAGUGCUAAUACCGCAUACGCCCUACGGGGGAAAGCAGGGGAUCUUCGGACCUUGCGCUAAUAGAUGAGCCUAAGUCGGAUUAGCUAGUUGGUGGGGUAAAGGCCUACCAAGGCGACGAUCUGUAGCGGGUCUGAGAGGAUGAUCCGCCACACUGGGACUGAGACACGGCCCAGACUCCUACGGGAGGCAGCAGUGGGGAAUAUUGGACAAUGGGCGGAAGCCUGAUCCAGCCGUGCCGCGUGUGUGAAAAAGGCCUUUUGGUUGUAAAGCACUUUACGCGACGACGAGGCAACUAAUAUGACUACUACUGUGCAGCGCAUGUUUGUCACAUAACAAACGCCGGAUACCUCUGCGGCAACGUUCUUACUAUGACAGAGGGUGCGAGCGUUCUUCGCAUUUACUGGAAUUAAACGCGUGGCUCCGCCGCUUGUGCGGUCCCAUGUGAAUUCCCUUAGCUUUUAUUCGUGAGUGCGUUCUCCCUGGGAAUCUACUUAUGGGAUAGCUGCGCCAAUUCCCCUGUAGGGCCCAACUGCGUAUAGAUCUCGAUUA
rnacentral:rRNA from 1 species